rnacentral:rRNA from 1 species
UGUGACCUCAAAUCAGGUAGGACUACCCGCUGAACUUAACCAUAUCAAUAAGCGGAGGAAAAGAAACUAACAAGGAUUCCCCUAGUAACUGCAAGUGAAGCGGGAAAAGCUCAAUUUAAAAUCUGGCAGUCUUUGGCUGUCCGAGUUGUAAUCUAGAGAAGUGUUAUCCGCGCUGGACCGUGUACAAGUCUCUGGAAUGGAGCGUCAUAGAGGGUGAGAAUCCCGUCUUGACACGGACUACCAGGGCUUUGUGAUGCGCUCUCAAAGAGUCGAGUUGUUUGGGAAUGCAGCUCAAAAUGGGUGGUAAAUUCCAUCUAAAGCUAAAUAUUGGCGAGAGACCGAUAGCGAACAAGUACCGUGAGGGAAAGAUGAAAAGAACUUUGGAAAGAGAGUUAAACAGUACGUGAAAUUGCUGAAAGGGAAACGCUUGAAGUCAGUCGCGUUGUCCAGGGAUCAACCUUGCUUUUGCUUGGUGCACUUUCUGGUUGACGGGUCAGCAUCAAUUUUGACCAUUGGAAAAAGAUUAAGGGAAUGUGGCAUCUUUGGAUGUGUUAUAGCCCUUGGUUGCAUACGAUGGUUGGGAUUGAGGAACUCAGCACGCCGCAAGGCCGGGUUUUUAACCACGUACGUGCUUAGGAUGCUGGCAUAAUGGCUUUAAUCGACCCGUCUUGAAACACGGACCAAGGAGUCUAACAUGCCUGCGAGUGUUUGGGUGGAAAACCCGAGCGCGUAAUGAAAGUGAAAGUUGAGAUCCCUGUCGUGGGGAGCAUCGACGCCCGGACCAGACCUUUUGUGACGGUUCCGCGGUAGAGCAUGUAUGUUGGGACCCGAAAGAUGGUGAACUAUGCCUGAAUAGGGUGAAGCCAGAGGAAACUCUGGUGGAGGCUCGUAGCGAUUCUGACGUGCAAAUCGAUCGUCAAAUUUGGGUAUAGGGGCGAAAGA